rnacentral:rRNA from 1 species
CUCGUCAACCACAACCCCCCCAAUCGCCACGACUGGCACGCCCCUCCUCCCCCCAAUCUCCCGAGCCUUCUUUCUCGUCCCCAAUCGCGUCCCAAACCCUCCCACCCACCCUGCGCGGAUCGAUCCCCCACCGACUGCGCAGUGGCAGCCGCAGCCGCGUCCCCGUCUUCCUCCCCGCCGAUUCGGCCGAGCGAUCGCGGCAGCCCUCGUCCACCCAUGCUUCCCCGGGCGGCUGCGGACGAGAUAUGAGCCGGCGGGGAAUCGACGGAGCCGCCGACGCCGCCCGCCAUGGACCCCUCCGAGCGCCCCGCCGUCGUAUUCGACAACGGCACAGGCAAACUUGGGUUUGCUGGUAACUCCGAGCCGUCUUUCACCAUCCCUACUGUAGUAGCUGUGAAUGAAUCUUUCUUGGACCAAUCAGAGCAGUGCAGUAGUGCAAAUUGGCUAGCACAGUAUAAUGCAGGUGUCAUGGCUGAUCUUGAUUUUUUUAUCGGGGAUGAGGCUCUGUCACAUUUUAAAACUAGUGGCCUGUACAGUUUAAGAAGCCCAAUUCGUCAUGGUCAGGUGAAUGACUGGGAUACAAUGGAGAGAUUUUGGCAGCAAUCCAUUUUCAAUUAUCUACGGUGCAAUCCUGAGGAACACUACUUCCUACUUACAGAUAGCCCUGUCAGUACGCCGGAAAGUCGUGAAUGUAUGGGAGAAAUUAUGUUUGAGACCUUUAAUGUCCCUGGUCUAUAUAUUUCUGUGCAAUCUGUGCUCAGCCUUUCUGCUGGAUUUGCAUAUCUGAAAACUCUUUCUGAAGAGGAUUCAGAAGAUUCUGUGUCUGAUAUGACAGGUGUAGUAGUUGACAUUGGGGAUGGAGCUCCACAUAUUGUGCCAGUUGUAAACGGCUAUGUAAUUGGGAGUAGCAUAAAGUCUUUUCCUCUUUCGGGAAGUGAUGUAACUCAGUUUGUUAUGCAGCUCUUACAGGAAAGGGGUGAGCUUCUUCCACCUGAUGAUGCUUUGGAUAUAGCUCGUAGGGUGAAAGAAACGUAUUGCUAUACUCCUUCAGACAUUGUCAAGGAGUUCAAGAAGCAUGACAGCAAGCCUAGUAAAUAUAUCAAACAAUGGUCUGCAAUCAAACCGAAGACUGGGAUUCCAUACACAAUUGACAUUGGAUAUGAGCGUUUUCUUGGACCAGAGAUCUUCUUCCAUCCUGAGAUGUACUCUGCUGACUUCUCCACUCCUUUACCUGAACUGAUUGACAGCUGUGUUCAAUCUGCGCCAAUUGACACAAGGAGAGCUUUGUAUAAGAACAUAGUAUUAUCUGGUGGAACUACCAUGUUUAAAGACUUCCACAAGAGACUCCAAAAUAAUAUAAAGAAGAUAGUAGACGAACGUGUUGCCGAAACUAAUGCACAUCAUCAUGUGGAGGUGAAACCUGUUGAGGUCAACGUAGUCACCCAUCCUAUACAGAGCUACGCAGUUUGGUUCGGGGGUUCUGUAGCUGCAUCCAGCCAUGAAUUCUUCGAGUGUUGCCACACAAAGGAAGAUUACGAGGAGCAUGGAGCAAGCAUCUGCCGAACAAGCACCGUUUUCAAAGGAAUGUACUGAAGUUUUGACGUAUCCGACAUUUUAUGUAGGAGCUCUACUAGGUUUCUCCAAAUAGAAUAGAGUCAAAAUUGAUUCUCCUUUUGGCUCGUCUCAACCAUCACUGGGCCGAUAGAUUUGUAGCUCAAUAUGUAGCUCUCUCUGUUCUGUACGACAUGUUGUGUAUAGUCAGCAAUUUUCUUCCUGUUCCAGGUGCAUGUUUGUUUGUAGCCAGUUGUGGUCGUAAGCAGAGAGAUGUUUUCCCCUUGUAUUCUUGUUUCAUCUAGAUAGAGGGUUUGCCGAAAGAGUUUUGCUAUGUAUAGGUCUGUGUCUAACGCUAUUUUGUUUCCCUUUUACUAUUUUGUGCUACGGAUCCGGAGAAAUGCGAGACUGCCACGGGUGCUCAAUAUCUGCU